UUGGCCGUCUGGCGUCUGCGCUUGUUCUUUCUUGUUUUCGGUUAAGUGUUUAUUUUUCCUUAAGUUUUGAGUUUAUAUUUCGCGUUAAGUUUAAAUUUUUAAGUUUAUAAAGUUUGUAUACAGGCCUAAGUAAAUUUAUAAGUGCUUUUGGUUAAUAGUAGUUUUCCUCGGCGAUAACUUUGAAACCUACUGCAAUAUUCAGAUGCUGUCAGGAGAAAACAUUGAGAAACAUCGGUUGAGAAUAUGAAGAACUCAAUCAAGAAGUGGCUGCAGCAAGCCACACCCAGAUUGAUGAAGAGGUCUAACAGACAGCAAGCAACACCCGCUGCUGAAGAGUGUUCUGAUGACUGAAUACUGUACGAAUUGUAAUUUAAACCUGUGUAAAUAUUUUCAGAAUAUAAAAUGUUAAGUGCA